GACGAACGCUGGCGGCGUGCUUAACACAUGCAAGUCGAGCGGUAAGGCCCUUUCGGGGGUACACGAGCGGCGAACGGGUGAGUAACACGUGGGUGACCUGCCCUCAGCUCUGGGAUAAGCCUGGGAAACCGGGUCUAAUACUGGAUAUGACUCCAUGACGCAUGUUGUGGGGUGGAAAGCCUUGCGCGGCUGAGGAUGGGCCCGCGGCCUAUCAGCUUGUUGGUGGGGUGANGGCCUACCAAGGCGACGACGGGUAGCCGGCCUGAGAGGGCGACCGGCCACACUGGGACUGAGACACGGCCCAGACUCCUACGGGAGGCAGCAGUGGGGAAUCUUGCGCAAUGGGCGAAAGCCUGACGCAGCGGCGCCGCGUGAGGGAUGACGGCCUGGUUGUAAC
rnacentral:rRNA from 1 species